AUUAGAAAAGGUCAUCACACUAAUCCUAAACUGUACUAGGGGUAGGGAGAGAUGCAACUGGCAAGGCUAAUUUUGUCAUGUGGCAUGCAAGGGCAUGUGGCAAGCCAGUGGUCCCACCUUAUCUUGGCUAAGAGCCUAUAAUCCUUGGUUAUGGUCAGAUGUAGGGGGAAGGGAGGACUCACACUAAAAAUCACCAUGAAGUUAAAUGUAUUCAAGAGCAAGCCUUCAAGUUUCCCUAGCCAUAAAGAGUUCCGGAAUGCUAUGGCAGACUUGCUGAAUUAUCCUCCUCCUCAUCGCUUGCAUUCAGAAGCUUUGGUGACCAGCUACGUUGUUUGGCAGCGGGCUAAAGGGAUCACAAUUGCACAGAGCAAGGAGCAUGCUGAACAGUGAUGUUCCAGUUUAAAAGGACAGAGCUGCAAACAAAGGGAUUGCUGGCUAUUCCUGACAAGUGGUGACCCCGUUGUAAUCAUCUUGCCACAGACCACUGAAUGGACCACCUGAAAAUGAAAAGUUUGGGCACAUGUCCUCUACUAACUACUUAAGCUACAAAAUUGGAUAAUUUCCCCUUGUAAAAUUUUUCUAGUGCCCUCCAGGG